UACGAGGCUCCUGGAGCGUAAGAGACGGGUAAUCAUAAUCCUGGGGUCGGGGGUUCGAGUCCCUCCCCCGCUACCA
rnacentral:tRNA from 1 species